UUUUUAAAAUUUCAAUUUUACUAUCCUACCUUUUAAUUUGUUUGAUUUGAGUUAGUCAACAACAUUUUAUCUUCAAAAUUUAAGUUAAUUAUGUAUUUUAAUAAAUUUAUAGUUGCAAGAAUUGUCUAAAGUAUAUUAACUAAAUCUUUAAAGAUAAAUAAUAUACAAAUCAAAUAAAUUAAAAAGUUCGAUAGUCAAAUCAAAAUGAUUCAUAAUUCAGAUAAAUUUUAU
rnacentral:lncRNA from 1 species